ACGCUCGACACCUACGGGAGCAGCAGUAGGGAAUCUUCCACAAUGGACGCAAGUCUGAUGGAGCAACGCCGCGUGAGUGAAGAAGGUCUUCGGAUCGUAAAACUCUAGUUGUUAGAGAAGAACACGAGUGAGAGUAACUGUUCAUUCGAUGACGGUAUCUAACCAGCAAGUCACGGCUAACUACGUGCAAGCAGCCGCGGUAAUCUGAGCGGGCUGGCAAGGC
rnacentral:rRNA from 1 species